GGCGAUUUGGCGGAGUGGUUAUCGCGGUAGAUUAGAACUUCUGUUCACAAUUGAUCUUCUUCCCCCUGGGAGCACAGGUUCGAAUCCUGUAGUCGUCG
rnacentral:tRNA from 1 species